rnacentral:misc_RNA from 1 species
UUGUGGAGGAGGACGCCGAAGGUGGGGCUAAUGACUGGGGUGAAGUCGUAACAAGGUAGCCGUACCGGAAGGUGCGGCUGGAUCACCUCCUAACAGGGAGACAACAAAAUGUAAAUAUUAAUUUUGUCACCUUAGGUCGAUCGGUAUCUCAGAUUCUUAGUUUUUAAGAAUUUCAGUUUCUAUGUUUUUUCUAGGUCACACCCAUCACUUUUUCCUGGGCCAUUAGCUCAGGUGGUUAGAGCGCACCCCUGAUAAGGGUGAGGUCCCUGGUUCAAGUCCAGGAUGGCCCAUAUCUCUAUGUUGGGGGUAUAGCUCAGUUGGUAGAGCGCCUGCUUUGCAAGCAGGAUGUCAGCGGUUCGAGUCCGCUUACCUCCACUGAAUACCACCUUUUUACAUAUUUUUAAGAAGGGAAAUUGUUGUGAGUCGUGUCCUUUUUGCUCUGAACGAAUCUAGCUUCCUAUUUUAUUUAAUAAAAAUAAGAUGCUGGACUCAUUGAAUUAUUAUUCAAUGUUUUCAGAGAACCUUGACAACUGCAUAGAUUAUUUUUGAAGACAAUAAGCAUCUUUAAUGAUGCAGAUUUAUUAUUUGUGCGAAUGCAUUAAAUAACAAUUCUAUUAAGCUGAUGCUUCAAUUAUUUGAAGUUAUUGGUCAAGCUACAA